rnacentral:rRNA from 1 species
UACGAAGGACCCAAGCGUUAUCCGGAUUUACUGGGUUUAAAGGGUGCGUAGGUGGACUUGUAAGUCAGUGGUGAAAUCCCCAAGCUCAACUUGGGAACUGCCAUUGAUACUGCUAGUCUUGAGUAUAGUUGAGGUAGGCGGAAUAUGUCAUGUAGUGGUGAAAUACUUAGAUAUGACAUAGAACACCGAUUGCGAAGGCAGCUUGCUAAGCUAUAACUGACACUGAUGCACGAAAGCGUGGGGAGCAAACAGG